rnacentral:rRNA from 1 species
GAUGAACGCUGGCGGCGUGCCUAAUACAUGCAAGUCGAGCGAACAGACGAGGAGCUUGCUCCUCUGACGUUAGCGGCGGACGGGUGAGUAACACGUGGAUAACCUACCUAUAAGACUGGGAUAACUUCGGGAAACCGGAGCUAAUACCGGAUAAUAUAUUGAACCGCAUGGUUCAAUAGUGAAAGACGGUUUUGCUGUCACUUAUAGAUGGAUCCGCGCCGCAUUAGCUAGUUGGUAAGGUAACGGAUUACCAAGGCAACGAUGCGUAGCCGACCUGAGAGGGUGAUCGGCCACACUGGAACUGAGACACGGUCCAGACUCCUACGGGAGGCAGCAGUAGGGAAUCUUCCGCAAUGGACGAAAGCCUGACGGAGCAACGCCGCGUGAGUGAUGAAGGUCUUCGGAUCGUAAAACUCUGUUAUUAGGGAAGAACAAAUGUGUAAGUAACUAUGCACGUCUUGACGGUACCUAAUCAGAAAGCCACGGCUAACUACGUG